UACGAAGGGGGCUAGCGUUGCUCGGAAUCACUGGGCGUAAAGCGCACGUAGGCGGAUCUUUAAGUCAGGGGUGAAAUCCUGGAGCUCAACUCCAGAACUGCCUUUGAUACUGAAGAUCUUGAGUUCGGGAGAGGUGAGUGGAACUGCGAGUGUAGAGGUGAAAUUCGUAGAUAUUCGCAAGAACACCGGUGGCGAAGGCGGCCCGCUGGGCCGAUACUGACGCUGAGGCACGAAAGCGUGGGGAGCAAACGGG
rnacentral:rRNA from 1 species